AAGUGGUUGCUAGGCAGUUGCUAACGUAUUCCAGGUGGUUGCUAAGUGGUUGCUAGGCAGUUGCUAACGUAUUCCAGGCGGUUGCUAAGCAGUUGCUAAUUGGUUGCUAGGCAGUUGCUA